rnacentral:rRNA from 1 species
UACAGAGGGUGCAAGCGUUAAUCGGAAUUACUGGGCGUAAAGGGUGCGUAGGUGGUUUGAUAAGUUAGGUGUGAAAGCCCCGGCUUAACCUGGGAAUUGCGCCUAAGACUGUUUAACUAGAGUACUGUAGAGGAAGGUGGAAUUUCCAGUGUAGCGGUGAAAUGCGUAGAUAUUGGAAGGAACAUCAGUGGCGAAGGCGACUUUCUGGACAGAUACUGACACUGAGGCACGAAAGCAUGGGGAGCAAACAGG